GCCAGGCCAGGGUGUUCCGUCAGAGACCACAGCCCUGAGACACUCCCUCCUGCUGCACCACUCCCAUCCCUGCAGCGAGGGAGCCUGGAAAGCCCUGGUAUCUGAGAAACCCCUGUUGGAGGGCAGGCCUCCUGGGGUAGACAGCAGGGCCUAGGGUCCCCAGUGAUCUGUGCGACCACACUGCCAUGCCAGAGGUCCUGUAGUUUCUCCCAGGCCCCAGUCACUGCUGCCAGACAGUGUCCUCACACACAGCUGGGAUUUGGUUGCUGUCAUCUUUGUUUCCUGAAACAGGACACCCUGCCCAUCCAUCCCUUUCACUACCCAAUCCACCAACACUAGGCAGAAUGAAUGUCUCAUUUCUCUGCACCACAACACUGAAACACUUCCGGCUGGCCACAGGAACACACGGGAGAGAAAUGGGAGCUCAGACUUAUCUGAGCGCUGCUCUCAGUGCCUGGAGGCCCUUGUGCUGUGACUGGGAGGCCUGAGGGGCUUCUUCGCAGAGGGCAGUGGACAGCAGCGGGACAGCGUGGAAGAGUCAAGGGCAUUCCAGGGACAGAAUGACAAAUAGGAAGCCCAGGAUUAUCCAAUCGUGCCUGUUCCUCCAGGCGCAGCCCUGAAGCCACCUGAAGCUCCUGUGGGUAGAGGGCUCCCUAUCAGCUGGGGCUCCCUUUCUGCUGUUCCAGUCACUGCGCCCACCCGUGUUCCUGCUCACCAGAUGGCGGUGUCCCAGCAGGCAGAAACCCGCCUCUGCUCUCUGCAGACCACACAGGGUCUUGCUCACAGUGUUGCAUGGUGCUGAAGGAUGGUGUGAGCACACAGACAAGGGGGCUUGCGAAAUGGCGUGAGUGUUCUGCUCCCCGGGAAAGUGCAGUGAGGUGGAAUUGAGGCUCCUUAUGAGGCCGUCCCCUUCUCCUCCCUAAUUCGAGGCUUAUUCACCAAAACCCUUGUUGUUUAGACACGUGAUACUGAGAAGUCCCUGAGAGUAAGACAAGCUUCUAGACACUGGAAAAAAAUGUAUCCUCCUGUGUAAAUAGAUGACUUGACUUCAAGGAUAUGUCAUGCUGGCAGAGAAUACCCAUCCUUCCUGUCUUUGGUAGGGAGAUCCUGCUUUAAUUACAAUAGCAAUAUACUCCACUGAAAGACUACGUUUCCCAACCUCCCCUGUGGUUGGGGCUGGCCAACAGGCCUUCGGAAAUCUGUUGAAAGGGAGACAACUCUGCAGACAGGGCACCCUCCCCCUCCUUCUUGUCUGGAAAGUGGACUAGAUGGCAGGAGCCCCUGUACCCAUGUUGUGAUCUGGAGUGUGGGGGCACCUGGCUACUAUACUCGGGCUGGGCUGCCUCCACCCAUUCCUUAUGUGAGGGAAUAAGCCUUUAAUUUGCUCAAGUCACUAUAGUGGGGAUUCUAUGCCUGGCAGUAGAACACAGUUCCUAGCUUAUACAGUUUCAUCUGAACUCAGAGUCAAUCAGUGCCUCAAAUAGGUAAACUGACUGAAUUUCCUGAAUCUACAAAGCCAAGGUCCAACCAUUCAACCUUGGGUACCCUGUCAAUUUAGGCCCCCCAAACUGAAUGCAUAGGGACACCCAGCACAGCACGGUGGGGGGACUAUAGCCUCUUUACAGCCUAAGGGACUCUGGGAGCUCUACCAGUUCACCAGCUUUGCUCGCCCCAGGGCAGGGCUCCGUUCUCAUUGAGGGCAACCCCCACAUAUGCAAUGGUCCACCAGGUGGCCGAGUAUAGGACUCUGGGGCUCCAGAUUUUCCAGUCUGUAAGGAGGCCCAGAGACAGGUGAGGCCCUGUGAGGUGUCUACCAGUAGCCUUGAGCAGGAAGCAGAUGGGGCACGUGGCAGCCAAGAAUGCAGAACUGGUGAGUGCCCGGACAUGGGCUAAUUGGAAUGCCUGAGUGAGUGUGCUGGCCCCAAGAAGUGGGGCCAGAGGGUGAAGUAAGGCCAAGAUUCCCUCUGGUGUUGGAAUGGAUCAAAUGUUAUAUGGCCUCCUUGCCUAGGGACAGUCUUGGUUUCUUCUCUAAAAAUGGGAAAACACUCUUAACGGGUGUGAGGAUUAAAUGAAUCACCAGAGUGAAAUCAGUGCACAUGGCUUCUAGUGGGGGUCAGUCCUUUCUUCCCUUCCUACUGUACUGCCUGGCCUGGCGGAGUCAGGCCGCAGGGGUCGCCCUGGGCUUCUGCACUCCUGCAAUGGCUGGGUAGGAGGGUCUCCAUGAAGAAGGGCCGGGAAGGACUCUGUCCGGAAAGAAUCAUGACAUCUGGGAUAGUGACAGGCUUCUGUCCCCAGGCCCUGGAUGGACCUUUGUAGGGACAAGAAGUAGCCUGGAACUUCUAGCACAUUAACCCAGUCCAGACAGUGCAUCCAGAUCAGCAGCAAUUGGCACUAGGGCCAAGGCAGUGGCGCUCAGACCCCGUCACACGCUAGAACUGCCAGGGGUUGUGCUGCAGCUUGGAGGGUGGGCCACCCCGAGUUUCUCAUUCCUUUGGUCUGGGGUGGGGCCUGGGAACAUACAUUUCUAUCAAGCUCCCAGAUGCUGC